AGCAGCCGCGGUAAUUCCAGCUCCAAUAGCGUAUAUUAAAGUUGUUGCAGUUAAAAAGCUCGUAGUUGAAUUUCGGGAUCAAUACGUCGGUCGUGCCUUCGGUACGUACUGGCGUCAUUGGUUUCUCCCUUCUGACGAACCAUGAUGUCAUUAAUUUGGUGUUAUGGGAAGUUAGGACUGUUACUUUGAAAAAUUAGAGUGUUUAAAGCAGGCAUUAGCUUGAAUACAUUAGCAUGGAAUAAUGAAAUAGGACGUUCGAACCUAUUUUGUUGGUUUCUAGGAUCAACGUAAUGAUUAAUAGGGAUAGUUGGGGGCAUUAGUAUUCAAUUGUCAGAGGUGAAAUUCUUGGAUUUAUUGAAGACUAACUACUGCGAAAGCAUUUGCCAAGGAUGUUUUCAUUAAUCAAGAACGAAAGUUAGGGGAUCGAAGACGAUCAGAUACCGUCGUAGUCUUAACCAUAAACUAUGCCGACUAGGGAUCGGAUGAUGUUAAUUUUUAAUG
rnacentral:rRNA from 1 species